CCUCAGAGCGGAACCAGAACCGAAUCCUGCGGAGGUCCGAGGAGACCCGCAGGUCCUGCCUCUGACACCCCCGCCCCCCCGAUCGAGCGACGCGUUCACGGUCACCACAACCUGCCGUUACCGUCAUGACGCGUUCAGGCGGCAACCAGCGAAUUCGUCCCACGAUGAAAGCGGGACGGGACACGUGAAUUUGAGCAGCGUUUACAAACAAUCAGGUCGUCUUCCUCUGAAUACAAACUCUCAGAAAGCUGCUUUUCUUCUGUCGAUCUGAUGUCCUUCCAUCACUGCUGCUCCUCCAAAGCUGUGAGGAUCUGAGUCUGCAGAGGUCAGCACUCCGUGACGGUCCAGCCUGCAGCCUCCAGCUGUUUCCAUGGCGACUGAAGGAUUCUCACAGCUGAACCUUCAGAGACGGUUCUGCUGAACGUGGAGCUUCAGGUGAUUCACUAAAGGCUGGAGCGUGGAACCUGCAACCCACCGCGGCUAUCAACCAGUUAACUCACAGAGAGCUAAAAAUAGAACUUAAGCUGUAAACUUUGAACCUAAAUUGCAAAGCAUUCUGGGUAACAGUGAUGCUUUAAGAUACAGUCA